UCUCAUGGCCUUAUGGGUAGGCUUCACACGUCAUACAAUGGUCGGAACAGAGGGUUGCCAACCCGCGAGGGGGAGCUAAUCCCAGAAAACCGAUCGUAGUCCGGAUUGCACUCUGCAACUCGAGUGCAUGAAGCUGGAAUCGCUAGUAAUCGCGGAUCAGCAUGCCGCGGUGAAUACGUUC
rnacentral:rRNA from 1 species